UAAGGAAUAUUGCGCAAUGGGCGAAAGCCUGACGCAGCGACGCCGCGUGGGGGAUGAAGGUCUUCGGAUUGUAAACCCCUUUCGGGCGGGAAGAUGGGAUAGGGUAACCUAUCCGGACGGUACCCCCAGAAGCCGCCACGGCUAACUUCGUGCCAGCAGCCGCGGUAAUACGACGGUGGCAAGCGUUGUUCGGAUUUACUGGGCGUACAGGGAGCGUAGGCGGUUGGAUAAGCCCUCCGUCAAAUCUCCAGGCUUAACCUGGAAAGUGCAGAGGGGACUGUUCAGCUAUAGGAGGGGAGAGGAGCGCGGUAUUCCCGGUGUAGCGGUGAAAUGCGUAGAGAUAGGGAGGAAGGCCGGAGGCGAAGGCGGCGCUCUGGAACAUUUCUGACGCUGAGGCUCGAAAGCGUGGGGGGCAAACA
rnacentral:rRNA from 1 species